rnacentral:lncRNA from 1 species
CAGACUGAUCACUGCAAUGAGCAAGAAGUUCCAGACAUCUAGCUGAGAAGCAAAUGUACUCAUGAGACAACUAUUUCAAGAUCAAAUGGAAGAAGAAUUAAAUCCAGCAGUUCCCCCACCUCGUCCUUGGGAGAUAUGUUUCCAGAACCACAGUGGACACCUGAAAAUGCAUACAAUACUGAACCCUAUCAUUUAACACCUUUUCAUGUGUGCUGUGGCCUAACUUUGGCAGUUUGAGGUGUGACAGCAAAACCAUUACGAGUUUCUUCAUUUCCAGAUUCUUCUGCAUCUGGGUUUGUUUUAGGUAUAUCUUGGCAACCUUGGAAUAUACUUUAUUUUCUUUCCUUUCAAGUGGAGAACUUUGACCUUUAAGUUUAAGGAAACACUUUACAGCAUUUUUUUUUUGUUCCCCCACCUCGUCCUUGGGAGAUAUGUUUCCAGAACCACAGUGGACACCUGAAAAUGCAUACAAUACUGAACCCUAUCAUUUAACACCUUUUCAUGUGUGCUGUGGCCUAACUUUGGCAGUUUGAGGUGUGACAGCAAAACCAUUACGAGUUUCUUCAUUUCCAGAUUCUUCUGCAUCUGGGUUUGUUUUAGGUAUAUCUUGGCAACCUUGGAAUAUACUUUAUUUUCUUUCCUUUCAAGUGGAGAACUUUGACCUUUAAGUUUAAGGAAACACUUUACAGCAUUUUUUUUUUUUCUAAUCAUACAUCCUGGACCUACAAUUUCUAGCAUCGAUACUCUUGAGCUUUGGGGACUUUAAUAAGCAAAGUAAGGGUCACUUGAACACAAGCACCAUGUGACCGUUGAUCUGAUAACCAUGAUGCCUACUAAGUGACUAAUGGGAACGUGAUGUGUUCAACAUUUCUAGAGAUUAAAGCAUCCGAGUAUAUUAUUAUCAAAACUUUUUGAAAAAAAAUGGUCAAUAUUAUAAUAUUUCUGUGUUAUAUGGAAGUCCUUUCCAUGUUGAGCUAUAACAUUUGACUUUAAAUCAAAUCUCAUACCUUACAAGGAGGCUAUUAUCAUAGAUUGGGCAUCUUACAUACCUGUGAUUUGAGAUGUGUUUGUAUCUGAGGGCUUGAUAUGCUGUGUGUCGGAGCUUCACCUAAAUAUUUUGCUGAAGUUUGUUAAAGUUAAAGAUGUGAAUGUUUAAUUCAUGUGAAGUGACCAGUAAUUGCUGCCUUUUACACAAGUUGGUGCAUUGCAUCUGGACCUUAAACACACAAAAUGGUCAGGAAAAUCUGGCACUUCUGCUGCUUACAUUGGAUGCCAUUUGGAGGGGGUAAAAACCCUGCUAUUUGCAAUUUGCUUUCCAUCUGUUUGUUUUCACGGAGUGGGCACUGGCUAUUUCAGAUUUUAAGUGCGUUUGUAUUCCAGGUAUGCUUUGCUUAAGAACCUUUCCUUUUUAAACCUCUUUGUUGCUGAGAUGUGAUGAAAAAGGUUUGUCCACUGGCUGCUAGCAGUCUAUCAUUUCCCUUACAACUUGGGACCAAAUGAGGUCAACAACUGGAACAGGUCCAUCCUGGCAAUGUUUUUAGAGAAACAGGGGGAGAAGUUGUUAAAAUCAAAAUGGAGUCACUUGUGUCCAUCUUACCAAAAAGACAAUAAAACUGGGAGGUUUUCAAGGAAGCGUUCUUAUGCAUGAUUGCCUGACACUUGAUACCCUGUAUUUAGGACAAGUUUAUGAUUGUGUGUUUUUAAUUCUGUCAUUACACUGCUGCAUGACUAUCAUUUCUGAGUAAAGAAAGAAGUGUUUUAAAAAGAUGCUUUGAACAGAACAUUUUGGUUUAAAAUUCUGUAAGGAAUCAGCAGUCAAUACUGGAGCAGGCACUACUGAAGGGGCUCCGUUGGACUUGAAGUCACAUUUCCCUGCAGGAGCCCUGGAUGCAACUGACAGUAGGCAACUGACUAAUUAGCUACACAUGGCUCUUCCAGGAAUGCUGGAGACACAACCAGU